GACGAACGCUGGCGGCGUGCUUAACACAUGCAAGUCGAACGGAAAGGCCCUGCUUUUGUGGGGUGCUCGAGUGGCGAACGGGUGAGUAAAACGUGAGUAAACUGCCCUUGACUUUGGGAUAACUUCAGGAAACUGGGGCUAAUACCGGAUAGGAGAUUUUGCUGCAUGGUGGUGGUUGGAAAGUGUCGGCGGUUGGGGAUGGAUUCGCGGGUUAUCAGCUUGUUGGUGGGGUAGUGGCUUACAAAGGCUAUGACGGGUAGCCGGCCUGGGAGGGGGGCCGGCCACAUUGGGACUGAGGUACGGCCCAGACUCCUACGGGAGGCAGCGGUGGAGAAUAUUACGCAAUGGGCGGAAGCCUGAUGCAACAGCCCCGCGUUCGUAAUGACGUCCUUCGGGGUGUAAACCGCUUUCGCCGGUAACGAAGCGUGAGUGACGGUAAUUGGUAAAGAAGCACCGGCUAACUACGUG
rnacentral:rRNA from 1 species